UGCUGGAAGAUAAGCACAAGGGCGAGGAC
rnacentral:piRNA from 1 species